AUGAAUCCUCGUAUUGACUCUCUGAGCUUUGGAGAGGAACGUCCGGUGGGUGUCAGCGAGUCUUUGCAAGCACCAGGUCACCUACUGCUGCUUCCCAGGAAGGAGGAGGUUCCCACGGAUUAUCAUCCCUUUCCGUGGGGUCCGGAAGGAGCCCCCCAGCCCAUUGCAGGGAGCUCGCGGCAGCCUCGUCCGUCUCCGUGUUCAGAGGCAACGCGCAAUGCCGGGCAGGAGGAAGCGAGCGUGACUGUCCCCGGCCGAGCGCGGCGCAGCCCCGAACAGAUGGCGCGGCGGAGCCAUGCCGUGGCCUCCAACAGCAAACACCAGGCCCCAUUGUUUCCUGCGAAAAGAGGGAUCGCGGAGCCAGCAGAGGAGACCUUCUGGAAGUGGGAGAAGCACAUUGCAGUGAGAUCUCUGGGUUCGCCUCGUUUUAACCCAGAGCAUGGGCAGGAUGGGUGCAGAACAGGCCAGUGCCUGGGACCAGGCGUGAGGAGCAGGUUUGCCAAGCUCUGUUUCAAGCACAAAUUGCUCUGGCUGUGA
rnacentral:lncRNA from 1 species